rnacentral:rRNA from 1 species
CCUACGGGUGGCAGCAGUAGGGAAUAUUGCACAAUGGGCGAAAGCCUGAUGCAGCAACGCCGCGUGCGCGAAGAAGGCCUUCGGGUCGUAAAGCGCUUUUCUGAGAGAUGAGAAAGGACAGUAUCUCAGGAAUAAGUCUCGGCUAACUACGUGCCAGCAGCCGCGGUAAAACGUAGGAGGCAAGCGUUAUCCGGAUUCACUGGGCGUAAAGCGCGUGCAGGCGGUUCGGUAAGUUGGGCGUGAAAUCUCCUGGCUCAACUGGGAGAGGUCGUCCAAUACUACCGGGCUAGAGAGCAGUAGAGGAAGAUGGAAUUCCCGGUGUAGUGGUGAAAUGCGUAGAUAUCGGGAGGAACACCAGUGGCGAAGGCGGUCUUCUGGACUGUUUCUGACGCUCAGACGCGAAAGCUAGGGGAGCAAACGGGAUUAGAUCCCCCUGUAGU